rnacentral:rRNA from 1 species
UACAUGCAAGUCGAACGAGAUUAAGGGGCUUGCUCCUUAUGAAAGUGGCGCACGGGUGCGUAACGCGUAUGCAACCUACCUCAAUCAGGGGGAUAGCCCGAAGAAAUUCGGAUUAACACCGCAUAAAAACACAGGAUAGCAUUAUCUAAUGUUCAAAUAUUUAUAGGAUUGAGAUGGGCAUGCGUGUCAUUAGCUAGUUGGCGGGGUAACGGCCCACCAAGGCGACGAUGACUAGGGGAUCUGAGAGGAUGACCCCCCACACUGGUACUGAGACACGGACCAGACUCCUACGGGAGGCAGCAGUAAGGAAUAUUGGUCAAUGGAGGCAACUCUGAACCAGCCAUGCCGCGUGCAGGAAGACAGCCCUCUGGGUCGUAAACUGCUUUUAUUCGGGAAUAAACCUUAUUACGUGUAAUAAGCUGAAUGUACCGAAGGAAUAAGGAUCGGCUAACUCCGUGCCGGCAGCCGCGGUAAUACGGAGGAUCCAAGCGUUAUCCGGAUUUAUUGGGUUUAAAGGGUGCGUAGGCGGCUUAUUAAGUCAGGGGUGAAAGACGGUGGCUCAACCAUCGCAGUGCCUUUGAUACUGAUGAGCUUGAAUGAACUAGAGGUAGGCGGAAUGUGACAAGUAGCGGUGAAAUGCAUAGAUAUGUCACAGAACACCGAUUGCGAAGGCAGCUUACUAUGGUUUUAUUGACGCUGAGGCACGAAAGCGUGGGGAUCAAACAGGAUUAGAUACCCUGGUAGUCCACGCCCUAAACGAUGAAUACUCGCUGUUAGCGAUAUACAGUUAGCGGCUAAGCGAAAGCGUUAAGUAUUCCACCUGGGGAGUACGCCCGCAAGGGUGAAACUCAAAGGAAUUGACGGGGGCCCGCACAAGCGGAGGAGCAUGUGGUUUAAUUCGAUGAUACGCGAGGAACCUUACCCGGGCUUGAAAGU